GCUUUCAACAUCCCCGUUCCAAGAUGAAGCUGACGAAAGGCAGGUUUGUCGCGGCUUAUCUGGAGCUGAAAGC
rnacentral:sRNA from 1 species